rnacentral:rRNA from 1 species
CCUACGGGAGGCAGCAGUGAGGAAUAUUGGUCAAUGGACGAGAGUCUGAACCAGCCAAGUAGCGUGAAGGAUGACUGCCCUAUGGGUUGUAAACUUCUUUUAUAUGGGAAUAAAAUGUUCCACGUGUGGGAUUUUGUAUGUACCAUAUGAAUAAGGAUCGGCUAACUCCGUGCCAGCAGCCGCGGUAGUACGGAGGAUCCGAGCGUUAUCCGGAUUUAUUGGGUUUAAAGGGAGCGUAGGUGGAUUGUUAAGUCAGUUGUGAAAGUUUGCGGCUCAACCGUAAAAUUGCAGUUGAAACGGGCAGUCUUGAGUACAGGAGAGGUGGGCGGAAUUCGUGGUGGAGCGGUGAAAUGCUUAGAUAUCACGAAGAACUCCGAUUGCGAAGGCAGUUCACUGGACUGCAACUGACACUGAGGCUCGAAAGUGUGGGUAUCAAACAGGAUUAGAUACCCCUGUAGUC